AGACAGGACCUCCGCGGCGCGCCGCAGAUGAACUCCGCCAGGGUCGGAAGACAGCAACGGCAGUCCGCUGGCGCGGGCGCCGGAGCAAUUCUGUCUGAC
rnacentral:SRP_RNA from 1 species